rnacentral:lncRNA from 1 species
AAAUAUGUCGCCUAUCUCGAAUUGUCGCCGAAACCCUAGAAACUCCCCUCUCUCUCUCUCGAAUCGCCGGCCUCGCUGUAACUCCCCUCUCUCUCGGAUCGUCGUCGUAGCUGAAACUCCCCUCUCUCUCGAAUUGCCGCCGUAGCUGUAACUCCCUUCUCUCUCUCUCAUCGCCGCCGUAGCUGAAACUCCCCUCUCUCUCUCUCGAAUCGUCGCUGUAGCUGAAACUCCCCUCUCUCUCUCGAAUCGCCGCCGUAGCUGAAACUCUCAUAUCUCUCUCUCUCUCUCUCUCUCUCUCUCUCUCUCUCUCUCUCUCUCUCUCUCUCUCUCUCUCUCCCUCUCUCUCUCUCGAAUCGCCGUCGUUGCUAAAACUCCCCUCUCUCUCUCCCUCUCUCUCUCUCUCUCGAACCGCCGCCCUAGCUGAAACUCAUCUCUCGCUCGAACUACUGCGGUAGCUGGAAAAAUUGGUCAAUCGACGGAAGAAGACUUCUCUAAUUCUCCUGAUUCCAUUCUUACUGUAUGUCAAUUCUUCGACCCCUUUUUUCAAUUUUUAGUAUAAUUUUUGCUUUUAACAAUUGCCUCUCUUUAUUUAUUUAUUUAUUUUAGAUUGAAAGUAUGUAUUAAUAAUUUUCAUGUCUGUUUUGUGCUUCUGCUAUGCUGCCUUGGUUUUGAAUUGAUAAUUUAGAUUGCAUGCACUAGCAAAAAUUUCAAAGUGCAACAUUAUGAUUUUCGAUAAGUUAAUUAUACAUUACAAAAUAGUUAAGUUAAGUAUAUGAAGCCAGUGAAUAAGGUUUUAUAUAUAUAAUUGUAUCAUGCAGUUUUUAAAUAUGUGCAAAGCAUGUAAAAUUUGAAAAUCUCUCUUCAUAUUCUUCAGGUAAUAAUCAUUUUUUUUAACAUUCAUGGGGUCAGAAUGUAAAGAAAUAUAAGUAUAUGAGGUUGGUGCCUGUUUUAAAUUAAUAUCAUUUAAUUUGAUAUUUACCAUUAUAUAAGGUCCCGUUUUGUUUCUCGUAACAUGAGUUUUUAGCUAUGCUGGACUUGGACUGUGUUUAUGUGUGACGAUAACUAGGAUUUUUAAGAUGUAAAGUGUGUUAGAGUAGGUGACCGGCAAGCCAACUUGUGGCUGUGGUCUUUCUCUUUUCUUUGUAAUAAAACAAUCGUUUUUCGUUCGUAAUAAUAAAAUAUCUUAUUUGGCAUUCUAUAUCUGUUAUCCCAUGCAAGCAUCAUAGAUAUAGUCCUAACGAGUUACUCUAUUACUGUGAGUUGAUCUAGUAGAAUCGUGAGAUAACUCAGCAAUGUAAUGUAACUGUUAAACCUUGUUCCUAGUCGAUGGGUUACGCCAAUAAUGAGGAUACCGGCCUUUCCCUUUUGAGACUAGCACUUAGUGUAUGUGUACUGCGUCUCAUCAGUCCUCGGUGUUGUGACAUCGGCAUACUUGAGUGGGUGCUCAUACUGGAUGAGUUCACUGAACUCCCUCGCCCUAGAAAUCUAUAAGUGGUUCUCAUUCAUCGAGUAAUAGGUUUCUAAGAUAUAGUUGUACACCAUUAGUCCUUAAGACCCAGACAUCACCGUGACUUCACUAGAGGACCGAUUGUAUCGUGACCUGUCCCUGAGUCCCACGGCGGACCGCUCCAAGGGCCAACGUUCGUGCAAUCCGAAAUCUAGUGUGAAGUCUGUGCAUUGUAGUAGGGGAUUCGAGCGCUUGAGUAGUCAUGGAUGUCCUGUGUGUUCUGACGGUUUAUAAUCCAUGGAAUCUCUGGCCAGAGUUGAUAGUGGGGUGAUUAGGGAAAUGUGUUUCCCUAAGUCGCACACGAACGGAUUUAUAAUACCUAGAACGUUCGCACGGUUAUUGAACUUUAUAAGAGGUCUCGGUGAACCAAUGCCUCUAGUUCAAUCGGGACAUGUGCUACGAAGGGAUCGUACUGUACGCUAACUAUAUCAUAAGGUUCUUG